CCCAGACCGAUAGCGAACAAGUAGAGUGAUCGAAAGAUGAAAAGCACUUUGAAAAGAGAGUUAAAAAGCACGUGAAAUUGUUGAAAGGGAAGCGCUUGCGACCAGACUCGCCUCCAGGGUUCAGCCGGCAUUCGUGCCGGUGUACUUCCCUGGGGGCGGGCCAGCGUCGGUUUGGGCGGCCGGUCAAAGGCUCCCGGAAUGUAGUGCCCUCCGGGGCACCUUAUAGCCGGGAGUGCAAUGCGGCCAGCCUGGACCGAGGAACGCGCUUCGGCACGGACGCUGC
rnacentral:rRNA from 1 species